ACAUUUUGACGUGUAUCCAUUUUCCAUAUAUCCUUGUGUAUCAAAACAUAGUAACCAUAGUCACCACUCGCAUGACCUCUUUCUCACAUGACAAAUCAAAAGACAUGAAAAUCUAGUUUAGAAAAAGUGAAAAAAAAUUGAAAGAAGAAAUUAAUUUUGUUUUUCGUAACUUCAAUUUCACUACACUCUUGUUAUUCAACUGUUCAGAUCUAUAUCAAAACUCAAG
rnacentral:lncRNA from 1 species